ACAAAAUGGCCGCUGUGCAAGACAAUGAGGAAGAGUGGGGGGAAUUUGAGGUCUGAACCAGUUACUUGAUCAAACACAUUAUUAGUCACUUCAUCAUCAUAAGAAAAAUGGUCACCCUUCCCAAACAAGAGUUUUAGGUCAACAUGAAAGAAGUAUUUAAGUGUUUACCGCCAGUUUUACAGCUGAUUGCUUUUCCGACAAUUCCAACAAACUGCUUCAGCUUCGAUCUGUGGAGCGAAAAGAGAUCAACCAAUAUGUCCAGACUGUUGAAGAUCAUCCUGGUGGUGGCCAUGUGUGUGCUCUUUUUAGCCACACUGACGUUCAGUGCAGAGGCCCACACAAAAUCCAAGUUACAGCAGCGGGCAUCAUCCGAACCCAGUUCAUGGCACCCAUGGUGCUGUGCGAUAGAACCAAGAAGUGGGGAUUACUAAUUAAACACAGCACAACCAAGACAAGCUGUAAAAGGUUUUUUUUUAAGUCUUGCCAUGUCAUAGGAACAAUUCUGUUCUCCUACACACGAAAAUUAAAUGAAUCCAAAACAUCACCAAAA